rnacentral:lncRNA from 1 species
AUUUGGAUACAUGAUUUAAAUAAAUGCAUGAAUAUUAAAUAAACUAAUUCAUGUAUCAAAUUUAAUUUUUUCCAUCAUUCAUGAAUCAAGUUUAAUUUCCAACACCCCUUCUUAAACUUGAUUCCCUCUUGAUAACUCCAAUCCAAGUACGCAAUCCUCCAAAAUCAUCAUUCUUUCAAUGGUUUGGUGAAAAUGUCUGCUACUUGAUCAUUGGUCUUCACAUAAGCAGGCUCAACUUCUUUGUUCUCAAUGCACUUUCUAAUGAAGUGAAAUCUCGUAUCAAUAUGCUUGCUUCGAUCAUGGAACAUAGGAUUUUUAUUCAAAGCAAUAGCUGACUUGUUAUCAACAUAAAUUGGUUUAGCUUCGUUUUGAGGCAUAUGAAGCAUUUCCAAUAAUUUCCGUAGCCAAAUGGCAUGACAAACACACGAUGCAGCGGAAACAUAUUCAGCUUCACAAGUAGAAAGAGUCACAAUGGGCUGCUUCUUUGAACAUCAAGUGAAAGCGGUGUUACCCAUGAAAAACAAAAAUCCAGUGGUGCUUUUUCGAUCAUUAAUAUCACUAGCCCAAUCACUAUCACUAUAACCAUGAAGCUUGAAAUUUGUAUAAGAAUAAUAAGCUAAGCCAUAAUCAAGGGUACCUUUAAUGUAGCGAAGUAUCCUUUUAGCAAUCUCCAAGUGAGUUAAAGUUGGUGCCUCCAUAUAAUGGCUAACAAGACCAACACCAUGAAGAAUAUCGGGUCUUGUACAAGUCAAAUAUCUCAAGCUUCCAACAAGCUGUCCAUAGAGAGAUGGAUCCACUUUCAUGCUCUCAUCAUAUUUUGACAUCUUUAUUCCACACCCAAUGGGAGUACUCACCGGAUUGCAAUUUUGCAUUUUGAAUCUUUCAAGAACUUUCUUUGCAUAAGUUUCUUGAAAAAUAAAAAUGUUAUCUCCAUUUUGUUUUACCUCAAUUUCGAGGUAGUAAGACAUGAGCCCAAUGUCAGUCAUCUCAAAUUCUUGAGCCAUCAUUCUCUUAAAUUCAUCAAACAUGU